UCGAGUGUCAACCCCUACGCGUAAUGAAAGUGAACGUAGGAGAGAGCUUCGGCGCAUCUCCGACCGAUCCUGAUGUUCUCGGAUGGAUUUGAGUAAGAGCAUACGGGGCCGGACCCGAAAGAAGGUGAACUAUGCCUGUGUAGGGUGAAGCCAGAGGAAACUCUGGUGGAGGCUCGCAGCGGUUCUGACGUGCAAAUCGAUCGUCAAACAUGGGCAUGGGGGCGAAAGACUAAUCGAACCUUCUAGUAGCUGGUUUCCGCCGAAGUUUCCCUCAGGAUAGCAGUGUUGAACUCAGUUUUAUGAGGUAAAGCGAAUGAUUAGGGAACCGGGGGCGCUAUUAUUGCCUUCAUCCAUUCUCAAACUUUAAAUAUGUAAGAAGCCCUUGUUACUUUAUUGAACGUGGGCAUUCGAAUGUAUCAACACUAGUGGGCCAUUUUUGGUAAGCAGAACUGGCGAUGCGGGAUGAACCGAACGCGAGGUUAAGGUGCCAGAGUAGACGCUCAUCAGACACCACAAAAGGCGUUAGUACAUCUUGACAGCAGGACGGUGGCCAUGGAAGUCGGAAUCCGCUAAGGACUGUGUAACAACUCACCUGCCGAAUGUACUAGCCCUGAAAAUGGAUGGCGCUCAAGCGUCUCACCCAUACCUCGCCCUCAGGGUAGAAACGAUGCCCUGAGGAGUAGGCGGACGUAGAGGUCGUGACGAAGCCUAGGGCGUGAGCCC
rnacentral:rRNA from 1 species